GAAGAAGAUGAUAAAAAUAUAUAAAUGAAUUAUAGAGAGAAUAGGUCAGUAACAAACCGAACAUAUAAGGUCCCCCACAAUUACAACAAUCACAUGCCAUUCGCUAUCGAAGGCAUUUGAAACAAAGAGAGACCAUAAUAAUACGUAAUGAAAAUAAGUCUCUGUCUGUGCCUCUUCCCCCGAAUUAAUUAAACUCACCUAACCCAAUCAAACCUUCUCCCCACACCCACCCUUAUACUCUUUCCAUUCCAUGCACCCCAAUACGUAACCCCAAACUCAUCAUCUUAUCUCAUUUGAUCAUCACUAGUCUCUCUCUCUCUCUAUCUCUCUCUCCCCCCAUUGUCAUUCUUAUAAACUCACACACAACACAAAACAACACAAAUUGAUCAGAAAAAUAAUGAUGCCGCCUCAACGUUGGAGCCCCCAAACAGUGGUACUUUUAUUGCCUCUUUUGUUCUUUUUAGUCGUAUCUUCUUCUCUUCAAAAGCUAGAUAGAAAAGCACAAGAGGAACCUGGUCAUCAUGAAAUUCAUACGGGAAUAAAGUGUGGAUCGUGCCCUUGCGUCAACCCCUGUGAACAACAGCAGCCGCCGCCGCCGCCUCCAAAAACGCCAUAUUGCAGCCCAGUGGUCCAGCAGCUGCCGCAGCCACCGCCUCCUCCGAGGUUCGUCUACGUGACGAGUUUGCCUGAACAACCUUACCAAGCAAGUAUUAUUCCAAAUAAUAACUGGCAAUACUAUUACUCCGGGGUUCAAAGAAUAAACAUGCCCGAGCUCAGGACUUGGCUUCUUUUGUUGGCUUAUUUUCUUUUCUUUAAGUGCUUUUAGCUUUUGGGUGGCUUAAUUAUAUAUAUCAUUUAUGUUAUUGUUUUUCACUGCAAUAUGUGUGUUAUUAAUUAUAUACAUAUAUAAUUUAUUAAUGAGAAUUAAUUAGCUGGUUGGGGAUAUUUUAAUGUUUGAUUAGCUAGCUACCUAGCUUUCUCAUCCACUGGGUUAUUAAAGUUACAAACUUGAUUAUGGUCCGUACUUGUUCAGUUAAAAAUCUCAAUUAUAAAAUAACUGAAAUUAAUGAUUAAAAUUUAAUGAAACACAGCGAAGUAAAUAUAUAUAUAUAUAUAGGUAAUGCAUAUAUAUUGUACAUAUAUAAAUGCAUAGACUUUCUGAGUUCCACUAGUAAACUUCACACAUGCAUGGAGAGGGAGUCUACUACUGACUCACAUAUCUAUUAAAUACGGUAUAUAUAAUAACCACACAUUAUGUGUGUGGGUGUAUAUAUAUAUGAAAAUCUUUGUGGCAAAAAUAAUUAAUGCAUAUAUGGCUUGAAGAACUUGUAUGGGGUACUUUGCUGCAUUUUGCAGUGUCUUUGCAAACGAUCCAAACUCAGAAGACAGUGGUGGUCCUAUAUACGGAAAAUAAUUAUGGCGGCGGGAAGAUUUUUGGCGGCUUGGGAAUGUGUAUUGAGGGAGAAUGGAUUCGGUGGACUGCGCGAAUGAUUCGAGGAUGAAGCUGUUUAAGUCUUUUAAUUAUGAUUUCUAUGUAUUUCCGCACUUGAUUUUGUAACCAAAUUUCUUUAAGAUUUAAGUUAUGUUUUAUUUUAUUUUUCAAACAAUGGGAUUCCAUAUCAUAUUCCGAAUUUUAUGUAUUUUAACCUUGGUUUUACAGUUUUUUAAUAAAGUUAUAACUAUUUCAUA